rnacentral:rRNA from 1 species
UACGUAGGGUGCAAGCGUUGUCCGGAAUUAUUGGGCGUAAAGAGCUCGUAGGCGGUUUGUUGCGUCGGCUGUGAAAUCCCGAGGCUCAACCUCGGGUCUGCAGUCGAUACGAGCAAACUAGAGUGUUGCAGGGGAGACUGGAAUUCCUGGUGUAGCGGUGAAAUGCGCAGAUAUCAGGAGGAACACCGGUGGCGAAGGCGGGUCUCUGGGAAGUAAC